rnacentral:precursor_RNA from 1 species
GACCUCCGUGGAUGGCGUAUGAGGAGCCAUGCAUAUCCUCAUACAUAUAUAAUUAUGUUUUGGUACCAAUUGAAUUGUGUUGAUGAGCUUGUUUUGUAGAAGUCUCUGUUCAUUGCCUCAUCAUGUGUAGAAGAGAUUAGAGGUACCUCACGAAUCCAUCAUAUGCUUUUUUCUUGU